rnacentral:rRNA from 1 species
GAUGAACGCUGGCGGCGUGCUUAACACAUGCAAGUCGAACGAUGAAAGCGGGAGCUUGCUCCUGCUGGAUUAGUGGCGAACGGGUGAGUAACACGUGAGUAACCUGCCCUUGACUCUGGGAUAAGCGUUGGAAACGACGUCUAAUACCGGAUACGACCUUCGGAGGCAUCUCCUGGGGUGGAAGAAUUUCGGUCAAGGAUGGACUCGCGGCCUAUCAGCUAGUUGGUGAGGUAAUGGCUCACCAAGGCGACGACGGGUAGCCGGCCUGAGAGGGUGGACCGGCCACACUGGGACUGAGACACGGCCCAGACUCCUACGGGAGGCAGCAGUGGGGGAAUAUUGCACAAUGGGCGCAAGCCUGAUGCAG